rnacentral:rRNA from 1 species
GUGCCAGCCGCCGCGGUAAUACGUGGGGUGCAAGCGUUGUUCGGAAUUACUGGGCGUAAAGCGCGUGUAGGCGGUCAUUUAUGUCAGGUGUGAAAGCCCUCGGCUUAACCGAGGAAGUGCGCCUGAAACUGAAUGGCUGGAGUACGGGAGAGGAGGACGGAAUUCCCAGUGUAGAGGUGAAAUUCGUAGAUAUUGGGAGGAACACCGGUGGCGAAAGCGGUUCUCUGGACCGUAACUGACGCUGAGACGCGAAAGCGUGGGUAGCAAACAGGAUUAGAAACCCGCGUAGUCC